UACGUAGGGGGCUAGCGUUGUCCGGAUUCAUUGGGCGUAAAGCGCAUGCAGGCGGCUUGGUAAGUCAUCGGUGAAAUCCCUCGGCUCAACCGGGGGGGGUCCGGCGAAACUGCCAGGCUUGAGGUCGGGAGGGGGAAGCGGAAUUCCGGGUGUAGUGGUGGAAUGCGUAGAUAUCCGGAGGAACACCAGUGGCGAAGGCGGCUUCCUGGCCCGAUUCUGACGCUGAUAUGCGAAAGCGUGGGGAGCGAUCCGG
rnacentral:rRNA from 1 species